rnacentral:rRNA from 1 species
GAUGAACGCUAGCGGCAGGCCUAACACAUGCAAGUCGAGGGGUAGGGUUAGCUUGCUAACUUGAGACCGGCGCACGGGUGCGUAACGCGUAUGCAAUCUACCUUGUACAGAGGGAUAGCCCAGAGAAAUUUGGAUUAAUACCUCAUAGUAUCUUUACCUGGCAUCGGGUAAUUAUUAAAGUUCCAACGGUACAAGAUGAGCAUGCGUCCCAUUAGUUAGUUGGUAAGGUAACGGCUUACCAAGACAAUGAUGGGUAGGGGUCCUGAGAGGGAGAUCCCCCACACUGGUACUGAGACACGGACCAGACUCCUACGGGAGGCAGCAGUGAGGAAUAUUGGUCAAUGGACGCAAGUCUGAACCAGCCAUGCCGCGUGCAGGAAGACGGUCCUAUGGAUUGUAAACUGCUUUUUAUACAGGAAGAAACAACUCUACGUGUAGAGUCUUGACGGUACUGUAGGAAUAAGGAUCGGCUAACUCCGUGCCAGCAGCCGCGGUAAAGU